CAAUAGCGUAUAUUAAAGUUGUUGCAGUUAAAAAGCUCGUAGUUGGAUUUCUGGUGGGAGCGAUCGGUCUGGCGCUUAGCGCGAGUACUUGCAUCGUCUCCGGCCAUCCUUGGGGAGAGUCUGUCUGGCAUUAGGUUGUCGGGCAGAGGAUCCUCAUCGUUUACUGCGAAAAAAUUAGAGUGUUCAAAGCAGGCUUAUGCCGUUGAAUAUAUUAGCAUGGAAUAAUAAGAUAGGACUUUGGUACUAUUUUGUUGGUUUGCGCACCAAAGUAAUGAUUAAUAGGGACAGUUGGGGGUAUUCGUAUUCCGUUGUCAGAGGUGAAAUUCUUGGAUUUAUGGAAGACGAACUACUGCGAAAGCAUUUACCAAGGAUGUUUUCAUUA
rnacentral:rRNA from 1 species